UGUCAUCCCAGUGCUUGACACUGGGAUCCAGCCUCUACUUACCAACAAAAACUUAGCAUAACUUUCAUGCUCAAAAAAUUCCUGGAUCCCAGUGUCAAGCACUGGAAUGACAUC
rnacentral:ncRNA from 1 species